rnacentral:rRNA from 1 species
AGAGUUUGAUCCUGGCUCAGCCUGAACGCUGUCGGUGUGAUUAAGACAUGCAAGUCGUACGGUGCAGCAAUGCACAGUGGCGCACGGGUGAGUAAGGCAUCGCUAAUGUACCCCGGGGUCUGGGAUAGCCAACCGAAAGGUUGGGUAAUACCAGAUGAGACCACGAACUGGCAUCAGUUUGUGCUCAAAGGGCAACUGCCCUGGGAUCAGGCGAUGUGGUAUCAGGUAGUUGGUAGGGUAACGCCUACCAAGCCUUCGACGCCUAGCCGGACUGAGAGGUCGGCCGGCCACAUCGGGACUGAGACACUGCCCGGACUCCUACGGGGGGCUGCAGUAAUGAAUCUUCCGCAAUGCACGAAAGUGUGACGGAGCGACACCGAGUGAAGGAUGAAGUUCUUCGGAAUGUAAACUUCUAAAACCUGUUAGAAAGUUCUGAUCGACAGGCUACAAGUGGCGACUAACUCUGUGCCAGCAGUCGCGGUAAUACAGAGGCCACGAGCGUUAGGCGGAAUCACUGGGCUUAAAGCGUGUGUAGGUGGAUGAGUAAGUACCUUGUGAAAUCCCACGGCUCAACCGUGGAACUGCUUGGUAUACUGCUUGUCUUGAGGCACUCAGGGGCGAGCGGAACAGAUGGUGGAGCGGUGAAAUGCGUAGAUAUCAUCUGGAACGCCAAUGGUGAAGACAGCUCGCUGGGGGUGUACUGACACUGAGACACAAAAGCCAGGGGAGCAAACGGGAUUAGAUACCCUAGUAGUCC